AUUCAUCAGUGGCGUAACUUUGCUUUGAAAAGUGGUGGGGACACCACGCAACUCGUUUUGCUAGAUCUUUUUUAUUUAAUAAAC